rnacentral:tRNA from 1 species
GAGGGUAUAGCUCAGUGGUAGAGCACAUGCUUAGCAUGCAGGAGAUCCUGGGUUCAAUCCACAGUACCUCCA